AUGAACGCUGGCGGCGUGCCUAAUACAUGCAAGUCGAGCGAACGGACGAGAAGCUUGCUUCUCUGAUGUUAGCGGCGGACGGGUGAGUAACACGUGGAUAACCUACCUAUAAGACUGGGAUAACUUCGGGAAACCGUAGCUAAUACCGGAUAAUAUUUUGAACCGCAUGGUUCAAAAGUGAAAGACGGUCUUGCUGUCACUUAUAGAUGGAUCCGCGCUGCAUUAGCUAGUUGGUAAGGUAACGGCUUACCAAGGCAACGAUGCAUAGCCGACCUGAGAGGGUGAUCGGCCACACUGGAACUGAGACACGGUCCAGACUCCUACGGGAGGCAGCAGUAGGGAAUCUUCCGCAAUGGGCGAAAGCCUGACGGAGCAACGCCGCGUGAGUGAUGAAGGUCUUCGGAUCGUAAAACUCUGUUAUUAGGGAGGAACAUAUGUGUAAGUAACUGUGCACAUCUUGACGGUACCUAAUCAGAAAGCCACGGCUAACUACGUG
rnacentral:rRNA from 1 species